rnacentral:rRNA from 1 species
UACGGGGGGGGCAAGCGUUGUUCGGAAUUACUGGGCGUAAAGGGCGCGUAGGCGGUUGGAUAAGUCAGCUGUGAAAACCACGGGCUUAACUCGUGGCCUGCAGUUGAGACUGUCUGGCUUGAGUGUGGGAGAGGAGAGUGGAAUUCCUGGUGUAGCGGUGAAAUGCGUAGAUAUCUGGAGGAACACCGGUGGCGAAGGCGGCAUCCUGGACCGGCAUUGACGCUGAGGCGCGAAAGCUAGGGGAGCAAACGGG